CAGGAGGAGAAGAAGUAUGAAGUGCUUGCUUGGACCUUUCUACUGUGCUUAUUAUUCUGUCUUCUCCUCAUGGCAAGUAAGUCAAAAUAUUUCUUACUUUCUUUAGACCAGAAUAGUGAAUUCAAUUCUUUGACUCCUUUCCAGCUAACAUGAGUGUAAAAUUUUGCUGGUUUAGUCAUAUUUAUAAGCUUAAAUCUCUCCUGUCUGGAGUUUCAUGGGAAAUCUAAAAAAAAUGUGAGCAAUAUUUUCCCAGGAUGAAGAACAUAAAAUUAGAUUCAAUAGAUACAUUUAUCUUUAAUGAAAUUGACCUGCCUAACCCUUAAUCAUAUUUCUGAUAUUAGCUUGGACAAUAUUUCUCCUGGAAUUUUUCUUACUUCUUAAGGCUAAUUUUGGUGCUCUUUCUAUAAGUCCCUGAGAUCUCUGGACUUCCCCUUGCAGAUUGCUUUUCCCAUUGCAUUGCAAUGAUUUAUUGAUACCGUCAUCACUAGAGGGUUGACUAUGAGAGUAGAAAUUGUAUCUGUCUUUUUCACAAUGCUGUUAACAUCAGCCACUGUACCAAGCAUGCUUUGUUGUCCAGGCUGGUCUCGUACUCCUGGAAUCAAGGAACCCUUCCACCUCAGCCUCUGAAAGUUCUGGGAUUACAGGCAUAAUUCAUCCUGCCUGGCCAAGAAUCUUUAAUGCUCUGCUCAGGCAACUCUUCCUCUGAGGAUCCUUCCAGUGACAAUUCAAGAAUUAGCGACUCAAUUCCCAGGGUCCCUUAGACCUUCGACCUGCUUGUGGGCAAUUUGGAAACAAGGAUUGUGCCUGAAUCACCUUUGCAUUCCUAGCAUCGUUUUUCCUGGAUAAUAAUUUGUUCAAUAUAUGUUCAAUAAUUGUUCAAUUAUUCAAUAACAAAUGUUCAAUAAAUGUGUGUUAAAUGAAUGACCACAGCUCCUAUAGCAGGUAGCUGACUUUGUGUCUCCUCAACCAAUCUCUGAGCUCUUUGAAACAAAGCCUAUUUUGUUUGAAUGUAAAUUUAUCAUCCCAGUUUCUGGUACAGGGUAGGGAACUAAUGCAUAUGUGGUGAAACAAUCAAUGCCUUAGUGCUUAUGAAGAAUAUCACUGUGUUACACAGAAGCAUGGAAUGACUAAUGUUAAGCUAAACUCAAGUUACUUAGGGAAUAUUAACUUGCAUUUAUUAUACUCUGGGGGAAAAACACAUAUAUGUGUAUAUAUGUAUAACAUAUGUAUGUAUACACAUAUCAGAAUUUGUAUAUGAGAAUGUCUGAUUACUAUCAAAAUACUAUGAUUAAGAAUUAAUUGCAAGACUUUGUAAUUAAAGGUGUCGACACCUCUUAUGUCUCCCUAUUUCUUGUAUUUGGAUUAUCUCUUUCCCUGCCUAUGCUAGAUAUACAAGGUGAUGCCGUGAUUGUGUCUGAUUUAAG
rnacentral:lncRNA from 1 species